rnacentral:rRNA from 1 species
GUACACUCCUACGGGAGGCAGCAGUGGGGAAUUUUGGACAAUGGGCGAAAGCCUGAUCCAGCAAUGCCGCGUGAGUGAAGAAGGCCUUCGGGUUGUAAAGCUCUUUUGUCAGGGAAGAAACGGUGAAAGCUAAUAUCUUUUGCUAAUGACGGUACCUGAAGAAUAAGCACCGGCUAACUACGUGCCAGCAGCCGCGGUAAUACGUAGGGUGCAAGCGUUAAUCGGAAUUACUGGGCGUAAAGCGUGCGCAGGCGGUUUUGUAAGUCUGAUGUGAAAUCCCCGGGCUCAACCUGGGAAUUGCAUUGGAGACUGCAAGGCUAGAAUCUGGCAGAGGGGGGUAGAAUUCCACGUGUAGCAGUGAAAUGCGUAGAUAUGUGGAGGAACACCGAUGGCGAAGGCAGCCCCCUGGGUCAAGAUUGACGCUCAUGCACGAAAGCGUGGGGAGCAAACAGGAUUAGAAACCCCAGUAGUCCCAUGAU